rnacentral:rRNA from 1 species
GAUUAACGCUGGCGGCAUGCCUAAUACAUGCAAGUCGAACGGAAGCAGCAAUGCUUUAGUGGCGAACGGGUGAGUAACACGUAGGGAACCUACCUAUACGACGAGGAUAACUACUGGAAACGGUAGCUAAAACUGGAUAGGAUCAAUUGAGGCAUCUUGAUUGAUUUAAAGAUCCUUCGGGAUUACGUAGAGAUGGCCCUGCGGCGCAUUAGCUAGUUGGUGAGGUAACGGCCCACCAAGGCGACGAUGCGUAGCUGAGCUGAGAGGCUAAACAGCCACACUGGGACUGAGACACGGCCCAGACUCCUACGGGAGGCAGCAGUAGGGAAUUUUCGGCAAUGGGGGAAACCCUGACCGAGCAAUGCCGCGUGAACGAUGAAGGUCUUCGGAUUGUAAAGUUCUGUGAUUGGGGAAGAAUGGUAUUCUUAGGGAAUGAGGAGUACAUGACGGUACCCGAUUAGAAAGCCCCGGCUAACCUAUGUGCCAGCAGCCGCGGU